AACAGAUUAACAAAAAUCAAUAUUUAAAAUUCGAAUUAUAUCAAAAUUUCGAAUAGUAGUUGUCCAAUCCGAAUCCUGACUCGAUAAUAGUAAACACUGCUUAAACCAAUUCCAGUAUACUCGAACCGGGUCGAAUAGUCCGGCAGGAUCGUUUUCGAUUUUUCUUGCAAACCAGUUUCGUCUCCAUUUCAGAGCCGUAAUAAAAAUGCGGAAACUGCGAAGUUCCGACGAGAUAGAAUCCGCGCCACUGAAAUGCGAAGGGGCUCUCUUCCGCCAUUUUCCCAUUAGGGUUUUACAGUUCUAGUUGCAAAGUUUGCCAUUAUCAGUUUCUCUUAUCCUGUGAAGUUUGAGAGCUGUUGAGGAAAAUUGAAGCCAAAGGUGAAUUCAAUUCAUCAAGCUCAUCAUCGCUGGUGUAUGACUUUCUGAGCACUGACCCACUUCUUCUCAGCUGCGAUUGACUUCCAGAGUCUCCAGUAAGGUCAGCAACUGAAGCUGCUAAAGGUGGUAAAUAAAAUGGCGGAGCUGCAAUAUGGGGUAUGGUUGUGACAGUCUCCUCUCCAGCCUCAAAAGGAUCCUAAAUCAAGAUAAAAAUCAUAUUUCGUUAUGAUCUUCAAUCAUGCAUUGUGGUAAUUCUUCAUCCAAGGACAUUUUAAAUCUAGGGUGCAACUUGAUCUGGGUUAGUUCAAGCUGCCUUCAAACCAGAACCAAUUGAAUGUCAGCUUGGUUUUAGCUAGUUGACUUGAAACCAUACCCGAGUAGAUAGAUCAGGAGUGGGUAAAUUCGUCCAAGAUACUAUAAAGGCUGCAACCUAUGCAGAUUUCACAAAAAUGUUUGAUUUUUCUAU